rnacentral:rRNA from 1 species
AGUGAACGCUGGCGGUAGGCCUAACACAUGCAAGUCGAACGGCAGCACAGUAAGAGCUUGCUCUUACGGGUGGCGAGUGGCGGACGGGUGAGGAAUACAUCGGAAUCUACUUUUUCGUGGGGGAUAACGUAGGGAAACUUACGCUAAUACCGCAUACGACCUACGGGUGAAAGCAGGGGAUCUUCGGACCUUGCGCGAUUGAAUGAGCCGAUGUCGGAUUAGCUAGUUGGCGGGGUAAAGGCCCACCAAGGCGACGAUCCGUAGCGGGUCUGAGAGGAUGAUCAGCCACACUGGAACUGAGACACGGUCCAGACUCCUACGGGAGGCAGCAGUGGGGAAUAUUGGACAAUGGGCGCAAGCCUGAUCCAGCCAUACCGCGUGGGUGAAGAAGGCCUUCGGGUUGUAAAGCCCUUUUGUUGGGAAAGAAAAGCAGCAGGUUAAUACCCCGCUGUUCUGACGGUACCAAAAGAAUAAGCACCGGCUAACUUCGUG